rnacentral:rRNA from 1 species
GAUGAACGCUGGCGGCGUGCUUAACACAUGCAAGUCGAACGAAGCACUUUAUUUGAUUUCCUUCGGGACUGAUUAUUUUGUGACUGAGUGGCGGACGGGUGAGUAACGCGUGGGUAACCUGCCUUGUACAGGGGGAUAACAGUUGGAAACGGCUGCUAAUACCGCAUAAGCGCACGGCGUCACAUGAUGCAGUGUGAAAAACUCCGGGGGUAUAAGAUGGACCCGCGUUGGAUUAGCUAGUUGGUGAGUUAACGGCCCACCAAGGCGACGAGCCAUAGCCGACAUGGGGAGGGGCCCGGCCACAAUGGGACUGAGGCACGGCCCACAACCCGACGGGAGGGAGGAGUGGGGAACAUUGCACAAGGGGCGAAAACGUGAUGCAGCGACGCCGGGGGAGCGGAGAAGUAUGUUGGUAUGUAAAGCUCCAUCAGCAGGGGAGAUAAUGACGGUACCUGACAAAGAAGCACCGGCCAAAUACGUG